rnacentral:rRNA from 1 species
UAGGGAAGCUUCCGCAAUGGGCGAAAGCCUGACGGAGCAACGCCGCGUGAGUGAUGAAGGUCUUCGGAUCGUAAAACUCUGUUAUUAGGGAAGAACAAAUGUGUAAGUAACUAUGCACGUCUUGACGGUACCUAAUCAGAAAGCCACGGCUAACUACGUGCCAGCAGCCGCGGUAAUACGUAGGUGGCAAGCGUUAUCCGGAAUUAUUGGGCGUAAAGCGCGCGUAGGCGGUUUUUUAAGUCUGAUGUGAAAGCCCACGGCUCAACCGUGGAGGGUCAUUGGAAACUGGAAAACUUGAGUGCAGAAGAGGAAAGUGGAAUUCCAUGUGUAGCGGUGAAAUGCGCAGAGGUAUGGAGGAACACCAGUGGCGAAGGCGACUUUCUGGUCUGUAACUGACGCUGAUGUGCGAAAGCGUGGGGAUCAAACAGG